rnacentral:rRNA from 1 species
GAUGAACGCUAGCGGCAGGCUUAACACAUGCAAGUCGAGGGGCAGCAUAAACAUUGCUUGCAAUGUUUGAUGGCGACCGGCGCACGGGUGCGUAACGCGUAUGCAACCUACCCAUAACAGGGGGAUAACACUGAGAAAUUGGUACUAAUACCCCGUAAUAUUAUGAAAGGCAUCUUUUAUAGUUGAAAGUUCCGGCGGUUAUGGAUGGGCAUGCGUUGUAUUAGCUAGUUGGUGAGGUAACGGCUCACCAAGGCGACGAUACAUAGGGGGACUGAGAGGUUAACCCCCCACAUUGGUACUGAGACACGGACCAA